UGCGAAUUAUUGUAGAGGUAAGCAAGCAAGACUCAUGAUCUUGAAGAGAGUGGUUCGAGUCCCUCAUUCGCAU